AUUGAACGCUGGCGGCAGGCCUAACACAUGCAAGUCGAACGGUAACAGGAAGAAGCUUGCUUCUUUGCUGACGAGUGGCGGACGGGUGAGUAAUGUCUGGGAAACUUCCUGAUGGAGGGGGAUAACUACUGGAAACGGUAGCUAAUACCGCAUAACGUCGCAAGACCAAAGAGGGGGACCUUCGGGCCUCUUGCCAUCGGAUGUGCCCAGAUGGGAUUAGCUAGUAGGUGGGGUAACGGCUCACCUAGGCGACGAUCCCUAGCUGGUCUGAGAGGAUGACCAGCCACACUGGAACUGAGACACGGUCCAGACUCCUAAGGGAGGCAGCAGUGGGGAAUAUUGCACAAUGGGCGCAAGCCUGAUGCAGCCAUGCCGCGUGUAUGAAGAAGGCCUUCGGGUUGUAAAGUACUUUCGGCGGGGAGGAAGGGAGUAAAGUUAAUACCUUUGCUCAUUGACGUUACCCGCAGAAGAAGCACCGGCUAACUCCGUG
rnacentral:rRNA from 1 species